GGAUGUGAGGGCGAUCUGGCUGUGACAGCUGGCGCCCCAUUGAUCGCCAGGGUUGAUUCGGCUGAUCUGGCUGGCUAGGCGGGUGUCCCCCUCCUCCCUCACCGAUCCAUGUGCGUCCCUCCCGAAGCUGCGCGCUCGGUUGAAGAGGACGACCUUCCCCCCAGAGGAGAGGACCGGUCUUUGGUCAAGGGUACACGAGUAGCUGCGCUCCGCUGCUAGAACCUCCAAACAAGCUCUCAAAAUGGCAUCUUCUAAUCAUCCUUAAUCCUUCUUUUUCCCUCCCACUCAG
rnacentral:snRNA from 1 species